CCUACGGGAGGCAGCAGUGAGGAAUAUUGGUCAAUGGCCGAGAGGCUGCACCAGCCAAGUCGCGUGAGGGAAGACGGCCCUACGGGUUGUAAACCUCUUUUGUCGGGGAGCAAAGCGAACCACGUGUGGUUCAGUGAGAGUACCCGAAGAACAAGCAUCGGCUAACUCCGUGCCAGCAGCCGCGGUAAUACGGAGGAUGCGAGCGUUGUCCGGAUUUAUUGGGUUGAAAGGGUGCGCAGGCGGAGGUGCAAGUCAGCGGUCAAAUUGCGGGGCUCAACCCCGUACUGCCGUUGACACUGCAUCCCUUGAUUGCGCGAGAAGUAUGCGGAAUGCGAGGUGUAGCGGUGAAAUGCAU
rnacentral:rRNA from 1 species